rnacentral:rRNA from 1 species
GAUGAACGCUGGCGGCGUGCCUAAUACAUGCAAGUCGAGCGAACAGACGAGGAGCUUGCUCCUUCGACGUUAGCGGCGGACGGGUGAGUAACACGUAGGUAACCUACCUAUAAGACUGGGAUAACUUCGGGAAACCGGAGCUAAUACCGGAUAAUAUUUCGAACCGCAUGGUUCGAUAGUGAAAGAUGGCUUUGCUAUCACUUAUAGAUGGACCUGCGCCGUAUUAGCUAGUUGGUAAGGUAACGGCUUACCAAGGCAACGAUACGUAGCCGACCUGAGAGGGUGAUCGGCCACACUGGAACUGAGACACGGUCCAGACUCCUACGGGAGGCAGCAGUAGGGAAUCUUCCGCAAUGGGCGAAAGCCUGACGGAGCAAUGCCGCGUGAGUGAUGAAGGUCUUCGGAUCGUAAAACUCUGUUAUUAGGGAAGAACAAACGUGUAAGUAACUGUGCACGUCUUGACGGUACCUAAUCAGAAAGCCACGGCUAACUACGU